UAAGACGGAGGGUGCAAGCGUUGCUCGGAAUUACUGGGCGUAAAGGGCGCGUAGGCGGUCCGCUAAGUUCGGUGUGAAAGCCCCCGGCUCAACUGGGGAAGGGCGCCGGAUACUGGCGGACUAGAGUACCGGAGAGGAGGGUGGAAUUCCUGGUGUAGCGGUGAAAUGCGUAGAUAUCAGGAGGAACACCGGUGGCGAAGGCGGCCCUCUGGACGAGUACUGACGCUGAGGCGCGAAAGCGUGGGGAUCAAACAGGAUUAGAUACCCUGGUAGUCCACGCUGUAAACGAUGGGGACUAGGUGUGGGGGGUAUUGACCCCUCCCGUGCCGCAGCUAACGCAUUAAGUCCCCCGCCUGGGGAUUACGGCCGCAAGGUUA
rnacentral:rRNA from 1 species